GUCUACGGCCAUACCACCCUGAACAAGUCUGAUCCCGUCUGAUCUUGAAAGCUAAGCAGGGUCGGGCCUGGUUAGUACUUGGAUGGGAGACCACCUAGGAAGACCAGGUGCAGUUGGCA
rnacentral:rRNA from 1 species